rnacentral:rRNA from 1 species
GAUGAACGCUAGCGGCAGGCUUAACACAUGCAAGUCGAGGGGUAUAGUUCUUCGGAACUAGAGACCGGCGCACGGGUGCGUAACGCGUAUGCAAUCUACCUUUUGCAGAGGGAUAGCCCAGAGAAAUUUGGAUUAAUACCACAUGGUAUGUGAGAAUGGCAUCAUUUUCACAUUAAAGUCACAACGGCAAAAGAUGAGCAUGCGUCCCAUUAGCUUGUUGGUAAGGUAACGGCUUACCAAGGCAACGAUGGGUAGGGGUCCUGAGAGGGAGAUCCCCCACACUGGUACUGAGACACGGACCAGACUCCUACGGGAGGCAGCAGUGAGGAAUAUUGGACAAUGGGCGCAAGCCUGAUCCAGCCAUGCCGCGUGCAGGAUGACGGUCCUAUGGAUUGUAAACUGCUUUUGUACAGGAAGAAACACUGGUUCGUGAACCAGCUUGACGGUACUGUAAGAAUAAGGAUCGGCUAACUCCGUGCCAGCAGCCGCUGUAAAAC